rnacentral:rRNA from 1 species
GUGGGGAAUUUUGGACAAUGGGGGCAACCCUGAUCCAGCCAUGCCGCGUGCGGGAAGAAGGCCUUCGGGUUGUAAACCGCUUUUGUCAGGGAAGAAAUCCUUUGGGUUAAUACCUCGGAGGGAUGACGGUACCUGAAGAAUAAGCACCGGCUAACUACGUGCCAGCAGCCGCGGUAAUACGUAGGGUGCGAGCGUUAAUCGGAAUUACUGGGCGUAAAGCGUGCGCAGGCGGUUUUGUAAGAUCGAUGUGAAAUCCCCGGGCUCAACCUGGGAACUGCAGUGGUGACUGCAAGGCUGGAGUGCGGCAGAGGGGGAUGGUAUUCCGCGUGUAGCAGUGAAAUGCGUAGAUAUGCGGAGGAACACCGAUGGCGAAGGCAAUCCCCUGGGCCUGCACUGACGCUCAUGCACGAAAGCGUGGGGAGCAAACAGGAUUAGAAACCCUAGUAGUCC